rnacentral:tRNA from 1 species
GAGGGUGUAGCUCAAGUGGCAGAGCACAUGCUUAGCUUGCAUGAGGUCCUGGGUUCAAUCCCCAGUACCUCCU